GAGUUCCGGGGUAUGACGUUGUUACGGGACCGGAAACCGGGGGCACCGCCAUCUUGGCAGUAUUCGGCAGCAUUCGGCAGAUUGGCAGACUGUGGUGGUGAAGAAGGCUAAAGAUGGUUGAUAACUGUUGUGCACCAGGUUGCACAAAUAAACGAGGGAAAGGGAAAGGUUCGUCGUUUUACCGCAUUCCUAAAGAUGUGGAGAGGCGAGCUAGGUGGAUCAGUGCCAUUAAAAGAGCCAGGAGCAGGCAAAACAAGACUCAAAGAUGGGACCCCCCAGCCGUUGGAUUCCGCUUGUGCAGCGAUCACUUCGUAUCAGGGAGAAAGAGUGAUAAUCCCUUUAGUCCGGACUUUGUUCCAUCUAUUUUCAACUACGUGCCAUCUCCAGAGAAGAGGAAAAGAAAAAUGAGACUGGAGGUUUUCAACAGACGACAGAAAGCAAAGCUACAGAAGAUAGAGCAGACAAAGCUAUCUGCAAAAGCCAUCCCUCCCAGAGCAUCAACCGAUUGUCCCCAAGACAGCAACAAGGACCCUACUGCAGACCAAACUCCCACCACAGAGCCUUUUGAAUCUACCCAUGAGGAACCUGAAAAUGAUGUCCAGCCUGUUCUCCAUGAGGAUGAUCCAGCAACUCCACCAUGCAGCACUGAAACCUGUGGUAAACGCAUCCAAUCUCUUGAGCAAGAAUGCCAAGCUUUAAGGACUGAGAAUAUGUUGUUGAAA